rnacentral:rRNA from 1 species
AUUGAACGCUGGCGGAAUGCUUUACACAUGCAAGUCGAACGGCAGCACGGGGCAACCUGGUGGCGAGUGGCGAACGGGUGAGUAAUACAUCGGAACGUGCCCAAUCGUGGGGGAUAACGUAGCGAAAGCUACGCUAAUACCGCAUACGAUCUACGGAUGAAAGCGGGGGAUCGCAAGACCUCGCGCGAAUGGAGCGGCCGAUAUCAGAUUAGGUAGUUGGUGGGGUAAAAGGCUCACCAAGCCAACGAUCUGUAGCUGGUCUGAGAGGACGACCAGCCACACUGGAACUGAGACACGGUCCAGACU